CGCGCCGCCCGCUGCCGCGGCCGCCGGUCAUUGGAUCACUCGUGUCACGUGACCUUUUGCAGAAAUAUUCGUUCUGAACGCUUUCAGUAAGUUCGUCGCACACGAAGCGGAGUCAACGCGGACGGAGAACGUACAGUUUGCGGCUGGCGACAGCAUUUUGUUUCUGGCUAACGCAGGCGACAAAAGUUGCCGCAACAUUACGCCUGGUUGCUGCGUCUUCGCGUGUCGCAGCCAAACGGAGUCCGGAAAGGCAUUUUUUUUUUUCAUUCCGUGCGGGAAGGACGACCGGGAUUCACGUUCUGAGUGACUGCACAGGAUUGGCCGGAAAGGCUUCACGCCCUCGAACACCCGCUUGUGCGAGCAAACGUCAGCCGACCAAGUUGCCGACAGCUGAUAACCAGAAGAUUCAAGUGACGCACCACUAGGAAGAGGGAGCCAAGGAACACCUCACGAAGACUAGCAUGUCCCCUUGUCGAACCAUUGACUCUAGGCUGAGGCUUUCCUUGUUGUAAUAUUAAAAUAAACAGAGCCGUAGGGCUAGAUUGUUUUCAGUCUAAUGACUGUUAUUGAGUGAAAACUUGGUGUUACAAUAAAUACUUUCUUCAGUGCUGUA